rnacentral:rRNA from 1 species
CAGCAGCCGCGGUAAUACGAGGGGGGCAAGCGUUGUUCGGAAUUAUUGGGCGUAAAGGGUGCGUAGGCGGUUUGGCAAGUUUGGUGUGAAAUCUUCGGGCUCAACUCGAAGUCUGCAUCGAAAACUGCCGGGCUUGAGUAUGGGAGAGGUGAGUGGAAUUUCCGGUGUAGCGGUGAAAUGCGUAGAUAUCGGAAGGAACACCUGUGGCGAAAGCGGCUCACUGGACCAUAACUGACGCUGAUGCACGAAAGCGUGGGGAGCAAACAGGAUUAGAUACCCGCGUAGUCCCUGUCUCUUAUAC